AAACUUUCAACAACGGAUCUCUUGGUUCUGGCAUCGAUGAAGAACGCAGCGAAAUGCGAUAAGUAAUGUGAAUUGC
rnacentral:rRNA from 1 species